rnacentral:lncRNA from 1 species
GGCUAUGUAAUAUAGAUAACAACCUACUCCCUGUCCGGUCGAGUCCACCUUCCAAAUUUCAUGAAAAUCGGUCAAGCGGUUUCGUAGGAGUACGGUAACAAAGCCUGCGAAUUAGAAUUUUAUAUAUAUAGAUUUUAAACCACGAAAACG